CUAUAGCCUUGAGUAAAUCAUUCAUUUCUCCUUUGCAGGAAGCAUUUACAGCCUGCUUCCAUCUCUCUCACCCUGGCAGACUCGAAGGUGCUUUGUCAAGGCCACGGUUUGGAAAGUGUUAAGCAAGUUUGGCCAAGGCCCAUAGAUGCUCCUGUAACACAAGGCAGGAAGAGCAGCAACAUUUAAUGGGAUUCUCCCUCAGGAAUGAUGGAGGAAGAGAGAACUUUUCUGGAGCUAAACACUGCCAUAGUCUGUAUUACUACAAAACUAAACUUAAGGUGUGUGGGGCCUUCAAAGAUCACUGAACAAGGACACA
rnacentral:lncRNA from 1 species